GGGGACGUAGCUCAAUGGUAGAGCACCACAGGAAACAUCAGGCGUGUCUCGGAAUGUGUCAGUUUUCAAACUACUGUAAUGCGCUAGUUCGACUCCAGUCGUCCCCA